AGAGCCUGACUCAGGAAUACACAUCAUUUCCCAUCCCCUAGGGCUGCGUCGAGGCCACAAGGUUAGCAACAGAACACGGAUACUUCCUAAAGGAGAGAAACCCCAGGGUGCUGGAGAGUGCCAGGAAGAGCAGCUGGAGUUGACCCACGACCACGGCUCUGCAGCAUGGAAGAGUGGAGGUUCGCUUCCAGGCGGCCAGAGCCCCAGGGCAGGCAGGGAAAGAGAAGAGGGCCAUUCCCUGGGGACAGAGUCGCCCACGGGCUGAGCAAAGCAAGGAGUCCGGCUGGGGGCCACCGCGCACUUUCUUCUCGUUGACCUUUGUCCGAGUCUGGACACCAAGAGAAGUCUGGAUCGCGUUGUCUGCGGCGACACCUGCAGGCCGGCCUCAUGCACUCAGGAACUCGAGGCUCAGACAGAUUCAGAAAGCACCUGAGUGUUCCAGCCCGCCCAUUCAGAUCUUAAACAAAUUCAGAGGAGAAUGACCUCAAAGGUGGGGCACCCUACAAAGAGGAAGACCCUUCUCAGAGCCCUUACUUCUGGGGCUGGUGAGCUCUACAGGAGAGGAAAUGACGUAUAUUUGCUGUGGAGCUAAGGUGCCCAGAUUUAUUUGACCCACUGCCCCCUUUUCAGUAAAAGUUUCACUCAUUUCCCCCCUCCCCAGCUCCCUGGAAAUUUACCUUUUUAAAACACCAUAGUGGAAACACAGAUGGUUUACACUUGGAAUGACUCAUUGGAUGGUGUGCACCCCAAGAUUGUAUAAGAGCUCGUGAAAUUGAUUUGACAAAUGGAAAAAAUCUCCCAGGGGGUUGAAAAUUAAA